rnacentral:rRNA from 1 species
GAUGAACGCUGGCGGCGUGCUUAACACAUGCAAGUCGAACGGAAAGGCUCCUGCUUGCAGGGGUACUCGAGUGGCGAACGGGUGAGUAACACGUGGGUGAUCUGCCCAGCACUUCGGGAUAAGCCUGGGAAACUGGGUCUAAUACCGGAUAGGACGAUGGUUUGGAUGCCAUUGUGGAAAGUUUUUUCGUUGUGGGAUGAGCUCGCGGCCUAUCAGCUUGUUGGUGGGGUAAUGGCCUACCAAGGCGUCGACGGGUAGCCGGCCUGAGAGGGUGUACGGCCACAUUGGGACUGAGAUACGGCCCAGACUCCUACGGGAGGCAGCAGUGGGGAAUAUUGCACAAUGGGCGCAAGCCUGAUGCAGCGACGCCGCGUGGGGGAUGACGGCCUUCGGGUUGUAAACUCCUUUCGCUAGGGACGAAGCGCAAGUGACGGUACCUUGAGAAGAAGCACCGGCUAACUACGUG